ACACAAUUCAGUCAGUUGUGCAGAACCAUUGUUGUGCCGUUGAAUGUCUAGUAAGUAAAAAAAGAACCUGCUGGACCUCAUGAAACGCAGGUUUACUGAGUAUUUGGCGAAGUAUAAAAUCGUCCACGAUGGGCUGCAACCAAACUUCCGACUGGUGCUAUUGGUCUGUUUCAAGGAAGCUAUUGCCCAGGAAAGAUUAGAUGUUGACACCGUUGAGAAUGAUGCUGAGGAACUAUGCUUCAGGAACAGAGCAAUGCCAGGCCCAAUCCACUAGGGUAUCCUUCCAUCGCUCGCGAUUGAACGCUUUCGUCCAAUAUUACGUUAUCCCGGCCGCUCUAGCAUCGCUGUCGAUGCUGUCACACCAUCUCAAACGGGGCCUACCACGCCCCCCCGCCCCCCUGACCCUCUUGACGAUCUAAGAAGACCUUGCAGGCUGGUCCGUCGUCCGUCAUCCGUCAUUCUCACCUCAUGACCAGCCUAGCGGAGCUUGGCCAGGCGUACACCCUGCACGAUAGUGAGGUCGUCGUACAUUGCGUAGAGCUCGGUGUUGUAACGGCCUCUCCAUUGUCCCUCCCCAAAUACGGGGCCAAAUAUCAAUCUGAGCGUCUACCUCUCGGACGCGGCUAAGAAAGUUUCGACAGUUUUGGACCCAGUCCAUGUCUCAGAUGCGUAUGGUAGCACUGGGAUUAUAAAUGUUCUGUAUAACCCCAACUUCGGCCGUCUCGACUCGAGAUGUGAGCGAAAUAGAUUCCUUAGGCUGCUAUCGACGAUGCCACUGUUAGUGCUAACCUUAAGUGCUAGGGUUUCUAUACAAGAGGUAAAAUAGUGUUUCCAUAGUCAACAAAUGAACGAAC